CGCGCCGUAUUAGCUAGUUGGUAAGGUAACGGCUUACCAAGGCGACGAUACGUAGCCGACCUGAGAGGGUGAUCGGCCACACUGGAACUGAGACACGGUCCAGACUCCUACGGGAGGCAGCAGUAGGGAAUCUUCCGCAAUGGGCGAAAGCCUGACGGAGCAACGCCGCGUGAGUGAUGAAGGUCUUCGGAUCGUAAAACUCUGUUAUUAGGGAAGAACAUACGUGUAAGUAACUAUGCACGUCUUGACGGUACCUAAUCAGAAAGCCACGGCUAACUACGUGCCAGCAGCCGCGGUAAUACGUAGGUGGCAAGCGUUAUCCGGAAUUAUUGGGCGUAAAGCGCGCGUAGGCGGUUUUUUAAGUCUGAUGUGAAAGCCCACGGCUCAACCGUGGAGGGUCAUUGGAAACUGKAAAACUUGAGUGCAGAAGAGGAAAGUGGAAUUCCAUGUGUAGCGGUGAAAUGCGCAGAGAUAUGGAGGAACACCAGUGGCGAAGGCGACUUUCUGGUCUGUAACUGACGCUGAUGUGCGAAAGCGUGGGGAUCAAACAGGAUUAGAUACCCUGGUAGUCCACGCCGUAAACGAUGAGUGCUAAGUGUUAGGGGGUUUCCGCCCCUUAGUGCUGCAGCUAACGC
rnacentral:rRNA from 1 species